rnacentral:lncRNA from 1 species
GAACAAGGGUUAAAGAGGAGAGGAACUUAAAGAAUUCAAGGGUUUGAAGAAUCAUAGGAGCAAAAGUGAAGCUAGAGCUAAUAGUUGGAGAUAAUUAAGGUUCAUGAUGUAGGAAAAUGGGUAGUUUGUAAAUUAUGCUCAAUUGGUGAAUUAUGCAUGGUUUGAUGUUAUGGAUGCUAAUUCAUGGCUUGGGUAUGCAUGAUUCAUAA